ACCAUUUGAAACAAAUAUUUAUUUAAUGGUGUUAUAUACUGAUUAUGUGAAUGAAUAAUUUAUUUUUUAUACUCGUGUUUAUACUAUCUCAAUAUUUAGCCACUACCAUCAUCACUUGUGAUUCCAGAGACGGGGUGAAGAGAAACAAUGUGUAGCUACUGCCAUAAUCUAAAAUUCCCGAGGCAACACCUGAGAACAUAGAAAAAUGAAAACUACUAUACUUUUUAUCCUAUUAUGAAACAAUGAAAGUGACUAGACCAUUGCUCGUAUUACAUGAUGUCAUUAAUACUGAAAGAUGUGAAAGAAGAACUACCCGAGAGAUAGAAAGAGAUGAUUGUUACCAAAAUUGUGACAAAAAAAAAAAGAUUGUUACCAAACACUUUUAAAGUGCAAAUAAGUUGUUCGUUUUUAGUUCUU
rnacentral:lncRNA from 1 species